AAUGUUUGACGCCGUUGACUUUUUAGCACAUGUUUGACCGUUCGUCUUAUUAAAAAAUUUAAGUAAUUAUUAAUUCUUUUCCUAUCAUUUGAUGUAGGCAUAUAAUUUUACAUAUUUCAUAAAAGUUUUUAAAUAAGACGAACGGUCAAACAUGUGCUAAAAAGUCAACGGUGUCAAACAUU
rfam:Oryza sativa Japonica Group DNA, chromosome 10, cultivar: Nipponbare, complete sequence.